GGGGACAAAAGGAGAUGAAUGAAAAUACAGCCUGGCCCUUGGCACAUAGAAGAAAGUCAUCUCUGGAAACUGUUCUGAUCAAUACACCUGAAAAGGUGGCUUCUUCAUGCUUUUCUUAUAUCCAAAAUUCUUGUGUAUAUGUGUUUUUUCCCUUUCUCUGAAAUCAUUACUUCUAUUUAUACAAACAUGUCAGUCACUUUUAAGUUCUGUCUAUGUCAGUGUGGACACAGUGUAGGAGCUAUGGAUGUAGAUAGAUAGAUAGAUAGAUGGAUAGAUAGAUAGAUAGAUAGACAGACAGACAUGCAAAUAUUGAGCCACUCAAAGUUGCUUUGGCUGCAGCUAGCACCCUCUGAACAUUGAGUUUAUUCAUUGACUCUUUCCUUCAUGCUAUAUGCACUUAUUAAGCACCUACUGACUACAACUUAUACACCAGUCACAACUUACAGCUCUGAUUGGGUUUCAUCAGUGACACCCUGUAAACUUAAUACAGACACAGUUGAUUCUUCUAGUCUUUGGAAGGCACAGAUCUUAUAACUCUCCAUUAAUUAGGGAUAUAUAGAAAAGUAUCUCAGCAAUACUUUUUUCGAAUCACUGAUCUUCCUAUUGUUAAAAAUAACUAGUAAAUUUGUCUUCAAAGAUCACCUAUUUUGUGGUAGAGCUCCGGGAGCUGAACCUCCACCUUCUCUCUCUGGAAAAGAUGGUACUCAGCUUGUUCGCAGACUGGUGGGAUCAUAUUGAAUUGUCUUGCUACAGAAUAGGCUUCCUAGGGAGAAAUAAGAUUGUAAUGGAAUUUAUACUGAUGAGAAACAAGACUUCACUGUGAUUCGUAUGUAUAUGAAAUUUUCAUUUUAGUGAAAUCAGUACAAACCAGGAAACAUAUAAGAUGCCAAAUAACAAGCAAAAUUAAGACCACCAAUUUCAGUAAGAGCAAAACCAAAUGCAGGGAAUUCUUAUUAUUCUUUGGGAGAGUUUGGACUGUAAAGUCCAGAGCAAAGAAGUCAAAGCAUGAAUUAUGGACUACUGUAAAGAAAAUGUAGUUUGACUGCUUUUAAGUUCAUAGAGAAACAAAACUUAGAUUAACAUAUAAUAAUGAACUGUAAUUAACAUGGUUUAAACUGUGUAGCUUUUAUUUAAUCUGAGUUUUAAAAGAAAUAGAAUACUCUGUUCAUAUAUUUCAUUAGCUGUGAAAUUCCCUUUACCCUCUUGUCACAAAGACCAUGCUAAAACACGAUUCCUGUUAGAGACCUGAGUUGUCCCUGAUGUAUUCUGAACUGAUGAGAUCCAGCCCCAUAUCCAUCUCUUAUCACUAUAGAAUUGAUCAUGGAAUUCCAGUGCCAUAGUGAUAGUGAGAAAACUUUACCAAAGAUCUUGCAGUUUGCAUAUGGUAUCUGAAAAAUAAUAAUAAAGUGCUCAAUGGCCAUUUAAAAACAGAAAUUAAAUUACCAUGAUCUCCAUAGCACUCCACCGCGAGGUGCCCCAGUACAUCGCCAUUCCUUGGUUUAUCACGUGUGUCAUGGCUCGGACAAUUUCUAUGAAAGGCCAAACAGACAGCAUUUCAUGAAUUUGUCAAUGUUUCAAAGUCAUGCAGGCUUUGUUUUUUUCCAUCCUAAAGCUUAGAAGUUUAAUGCAAUUAGUAGUUUGAUUAAUAUAAUUACUUUGAUAUUGAUGACACAAUAGUCUAACAUGUAAUAUCAAUGGUUUGGAGGCUAACAGUACUUUUAGGUAAAUGGAACUUCCAUUUUCAGUUUGUAGCCACAGUGCAAUAUGAUAUUAAAACCAGAAUGACCACUUUGA